rnacentral:lncRNA from 1 species
CAGAUCUCCUGGAGAAUGCACAUUGGUGUUUUUAUUAUCACAGUGGCUGAAGAGCUCAGUUUUGAACCUUGGAGGCUGGUGGUUCUAUGGUAGCCCAAGCAACUUCAUGCCUUUGUCAAGAUGCUAGGUCAGGUCACCGGGUCACUGGGUGGCUGCACCAGUGAAAGACAUUAUCUUAUGUAGCCCAGAAACUUCCUAGUGACCAGGAUGCAGUAGAGGUACCUAGAAGAUUUAGCAUAGUCACUGUCAAAACUAUUGCAUUGAGCGUUCUUGGAGGAAGAAAGGCCACACAUUACAUUCUGUUUUCACUGUCUUUGUUACUGCCCCCUAGCAACCUCACCACACUCCUGUACUCUUCUGAACACUGCAAAGAUUGCCCCCAGAAUUCUUAGGAGUUCCUGUGGGGACUUCCUAAAUCAAGUACCAAGAAAUGCUUGGGCAAGUAAAACUAAGGAGGUUGAUAGAAAUAGGGUAGUUAUGUUCAACAGUUCAACAAAACUGAAAGAGAGAUCAGAAAAGGGGCCCACUGCACACCUUUUCUGCUCCAGGCAUUAAGUUAGGUUCCAGAGAUUCAACAAAGCACCUUCUGCCUUGUGGAGCCCUCAGUCAGAUAAUCAGGACAAUUUGCCACAUAAAUGCCAAAGACAAC